rnacentral:rRNA from 1 species
ACAUGCCUAGAUCAGAGAAUUAAUGCACCAAAUCCCAUUAGAACUCCGCAGUUAAGCGCACUCAGGCUAGAGUAAUAUUGGGAUGGGUGAUCGCCCGGGAAGUCCUAAUGUUUUACAUGCC